rnacentral:rRNA from 1 species
UUUUCUUUGGGAUAACGGCUGGAAACGGCUGCUAAUACUGGAUAUUCAGGCUGCAUCGCAUGGUGUGGUUUGGAAAGGUUUUUUCUGGGAUUGGGUGGGCUCGCGGCCUAUCAGCUUGUUGGUGGGGUGAUGGCUUACCAAGGCUUUGACGGGUAGCCGGCCUGAGAGGGUGGUCGGUCGCACUGGGACUGAGAUACGGCCCAGACUCCUACGGGAGGCAGCAGUGGGGAAUAUUGCACAAUGGACGAAAGUUUGAUGCAGCGACGCCGCGUGGAGGGUGUAGGCCUUCGGGUUGUGAACUCCUUUUUCUCGCGAAAAAGGCACAGUUUUGGCUGUGUUGAUGGUAGUGGGGGAAGAAGCGCCGGCUAACUACGUGCCAGCAGCCGCGGUAAUACGUAGGGCGCGAGCGUUGUCCGGAUUUAUUGGGCGUAAAGAGCUCGUAGGUGGUUCGUCGCGUCUGUCGUGAAAGCCAGCAGCUUAACUGUUGGUCUGCGGUGGGUACGGGCGGGCUUGAGUGCGGUAGGGGUGACUGGAAUUCCUGGUGUAGCGGUGGAAUGCGCAGAUAUCAGGAGGAACACCGAUGGCGAAGGCAGGUCACUGGGCCGUUACUGACACUG